UAUGUUAAGUAAAAGCUGCUCCACUUGUGCUCCUCCGAUGCAACUAACAGAACAGGUGACAUUCAACUUGAACGAACGCAUAAAACAAAAUCAUAAUAAAAUUGCAAUUCAAAUAAAAACAAAAAAAAAGAGGCUGCUUAUGCAAAUACAUACAUAUGUAUGUACAUAUGUAUGGAUUUGUGUGCCAAAAUAAAAGUUCGUCGCCAACCAAAACAAUAAUAAACAACAUGUAAAAGUCGUAUGUUUGCAACACGACUGUUUAUAUACCCUGCAGUAAUCCUAUACAACAUAAUUACAUUUUAGUUGAUCAACCUCAAUUAUCAUCUUCCUAAGUUGUAGAUGUAACUAAUGAUUCUAAACACUAUUUCAUCAUUAUGUAUUUCUGCAUGUCAUUCUGCAAAGCACUCAAAACGGGAUGCGACCUGUAAUCGAGACGACGGGAUAUUAUGGAUGUGUGCAUGCGUGUUCAUGCACGUGUGUUUAUGUAUGUAUGCAUAUGUAUUUGGGUAACUGGAAAAAGGCAAAAAGAAAGAAGCGGCAACUGCACGCGCCUCAACAUGUGGAUGCUGCUGCUGCUGCCCGUGUGGCCAGACUGUCUGCGACUGCGCUAAACUGAACGCAAGCAACAUUUUCGCUUGGACGGAAGCGGAACUAUGUAUGCAGAUUUGAAGGAAGCAGCUUCGAUAGUCGAAGAAGAAGAGGCAGAGCAAUCAAAGCCUUGCGCAUGUGUUUGUGUGUCCAUGUGUAUGUCUGAUUGUACAUACAUUCAAAUACACAUAAGGAAAAA